rnacentral:rRNA from 1 species
GAUGAACGCUGGCGGCGUGCCUAAUACAUGCAAGUCGAGCGAACAGACGAGGAGCUUGCUCCUCUGACGUUAGCGGCGGACGGGUGAGUAACACGUGGAUAACCUACCUAUAAGACUGGGAUAACUUCGGGAAACCGGAGCUAAUACCGGAUAAUAUAUUGAACCGCAUGGUUCAAUAGUGAAAGACGGUUUUGCUGUCACUUAUAGAUGGAUCCGCGCCGCAUUAGCUAGUUGGUAAGGUAACGGCUUACCAAGGCAACGAUGCGUAGCCGACCUGAGAGGGUGAUCGGCCACACUGGAACUGAGACACGGUCCAGACUCCUACGGGAGGCAGCAGCAGGGAAUCUUCCGCAAUGGGCGAAGGCCUGACGGAGCACCGCCGCGUGAGUGAUGAAGGUAUUCGGAUCGUAAAACUCUGUUAUUAGGGAAAAAAAGUUGUGUAAGUAACUAUGCACGUCUUGACGGUACCUAAUCCGAAAGCCACGGGUAACUACGUG